GAGACUGAAAGCAUGGGUGUCCCUCUCUGAUCACCCAGCAAUCACACAACCAUAAAAGGAAAAAUCUACCCUUUAAAUACC
rnacentral:miRNA from 1 species